GAUGAACGCUGGCGGCGUGCCUAAUACAUGCAAGUAGAACGCUGAAGCUUGGUGCUUGCACCGAGCGGGUGAGUUGCGAACGGGUGAGUAGCGCGUAGGUAACCUGCCUCUUAGCGGGGGAUAACUAUUGGAAACGAUAGCUAAUACCGCAUAAAAGUCGACAUCGCAUGAUGUUGACUUGAAAGGUGCAAUUGCAUCACUAAGAGAUGGACCUGCGUUGUAUUAGCUAGUUGGUGAGGUAACGGCUCACCAAGGCGACGAUACAUAGCCGACCUGAGAGGGUGAUCGGCCACACUGGGACUGAGACACGGCCCAGACUCCUACGGGAGGCAGCAGUAGGGAAUCUUCGGCAAUGGGGGCAACCCUGACCGAGCAACGCCGCGUGAGUGAAGAAGGUUUUCGGAUCGUAAAGCUCUGUUGUAAGAGAAGAACGAGUGUGAGAGUGGAAAGUUC
rnacentral:rRNA from 1 species